rnacentral:rRNA from 1 species
CAGCAGCCGCGGUAAUACGAAGGGUGCAAGCGUUAAUCGGAAUUACUGGGCGUAAAGCGUGCGUAGGCGGUUUGUUAAGUCUGCUGUGAAAUCCCCGGGCUCAACCUGGGAAUGGCAGUGGAUACUGGCAAGCUAGAGUGUGUCAGAGGAUGGUGGAAUUCCCGGUGUAGCGGUGAAAUGCGUAGAGAUCGGAAGGAACAUCUGUGGCGAAGGCGACUAUCUGGGCCAACACUGACACUGAGGCACGAAAGCGUGGGGAGCAAACAGGAUUAGAUACCAGGGUAGUCCCUGUCUCUUAUAC